ACUACUUUUGGUGUCCCCCUCAGGAAUUGCUCUUGAGAAAAUGUAAUGUAAUUGUCCCUCCAAGUGUUGAUAUAGAUUUUUCGCCCCUGUGCUGGUAGCUCGGCUAUGCCAGGAGGAUGCAGGGUAGUAUGGCUAUGCACCAGAGGAUGGACAGGGGUCUAAAGGGAGCUUUACUGGCAAAGGUCUGUGUACUUUACAGCACAAGGACUUUACCACUGUUUUUACAGUUAGGGUUAGGGUGACCCAGUUAACCACUGGUGCUAUAACGGAACAGUUAAGGUACUAGGUAUGUGACCGUUUCGGUCAUUUGUAACCAUUCUGACCAUUUGUUGUCCCAUCAGACUCUGGUGAUGAUGUAUCAGACUCUGACAUAAACUACAGAGGGUAUAUGGGUUUUCGUCGUCCGAGGAAGAGGAAUGGGACCAAAGUGCAGCGUGACUCUGACUGUCGCCCCAGCCUCUAACCCUGUGUUAACCUCAUUUCAAGUACCUGUUAUUUACAUGGGAAUUGUAACACAGUUUGAUACUCCCAAAGCGUAUCUAUUUAUUGUGAUUGUAUUACUUAAGCCCAGUAUAAGGACUUUAGCA